GACAGAGGAUGCAAGCGUUAAUCGGAAUUACUGGGCGUAAAGAGUGUGUAGGCGGUGCUCUAAGUUCGGUGUGAAAUCUCCUGGCUUAACUGGGAGGGUGCGCCGGAAACUGGGGUGCUCGAGCGUGGGAGAGGAAAGCGGAAUUCCUGGUGUAGCGGUGAAAUGCGUAGAUAUCAGGAGGAACACCUGUGGUGUAGACAGCUUUCUGGACCAUUGCUGACGCUGAGACACGAAAGCGUGGGUAGCAAACAGG
rnacentral:rRNA from 1 species